rnacentral:rRNA from 1 species
CCUUUGACGUUAGCGGCGGACGGGUGAGUAACACGUGGGUAACCUACCUAUAAGACUGGGACAACUUCGGGAAACCGGAGCUAAUACCGGAUAAUCAUGUUGAACCGCAUGGUUCAAUAGUGAAAGAUGGUUUUGCUAUCACUUAUAGAUGGACCCGCGCCGUAUUAGCUAGUUGGUGAGGUAACGGCUCACCAAGGCAACGAUACGUAGCCGACCUGAGAGGGUGAUCGGCCACACUGGAACUGAGACACGGUCCAGACUCCUACGGGAGGCAGCAGUAGGGAAUCUUCCGCAAUGGGCGAAAGCCUGACGGAGCAACGCCGCGUGAGUGAUGAAGGUCUUCGGAUCGUAAAACUCUGUUAUUAGGGAAGAACAAACGUGUAAGUAACUGUGCACGUCUUGACGGUACCUAAUCAGAAAGCCACGGCUAACUACGUGCCAGCAGCCGCGGUAAUACGUAGGUGGCAAGCGUUAUCCGGAAUUAUUGGGCGUAAAGCGCGCGUAGGCGGUUUUUUAAGUCUGAUGUGAAAGCCCACGGCUCAACCGUGGAGGGUCAUUGGAAACUGGAAAACUUGAGUGCAGAAGAGGAAAGUGGAAUUCCAUGUGUAGCUGGUGAAAUGCGCAGAGAUAUGGAGGAACACCAGUGGCGAAGGCGACUUUCUGGUCUGUAACUGACGCUGAUGUGCGAAAGCGUGGGGAUCAAACAGGAUUAGAUACCCUGGUAGUCCACGCCGUAAACGAUGAGUGCUAAGUGUUAGGGGGUUUCCGCCCCUUAGUGCUGCAGCUAACG